CCCUUAGAUGUCCUGGGCCGCACGCGCGUUACACUGAUGCAUUCAACGAGCUUAUAACCUUGGCCGAGAGGCCCGGGCAAUCUUGUUAACGUGCAUCGUGAUAGGGAUAGAUUAUUGAAAUUAUUAAUCUUGAACGAGGAAUUCCUAGUAAACGCAGAUCAUCAAUCUGCAUUGAUUACGUCCCUGCCCUUUGUACACACCGCCCGUCGCUCCUACCGAUUGAAUGUGUUGGUGAGGAGCUCGGAUUGGCAGCAGUUGGUGGUUCGCCACCGGCUAUUGCUGAGAAGUCCUCCAAACCGCCCCAUUUAGAGGAAGGAGAAGUCGUAACA
rnacentral:rRNA from 1 species